CAUGCCGCGUGUGUGAAGAAGGCCUUCGGGUUGUAAAGCACUUACACUUGGGAAGAAGCGCUGUCGGUUAAUACGCCGGCAGCUGAGACAUCACCUAGAGAAGAAGCAGCGGAUAACUCCGGGCCAGCAGGCGCGGUAAUACGGAGGGUGCGAGCGUAACUCGGAAUCACGGGGCGUAAAGCGCGCGUAGGCGGGUUGAAAAGUGGGAUGUGAAAGCCCCGGGCUCAACCUGGGAAUUGGACGCGAUAGUGGCCGAGUGGAGUGCGAGAUAGGGGGGUAGAAUUCCACGAGUAGGGGUGAACUGCGUAAAUUUGUGGAGGAAUACUGGUGGCGAAGGCGGCCUCAUGGCUCUGACACGUGACGCUGAGGUGCGAAAGCGUUGGGGAGCAAACAGGAUUAGAUACCCUGGUAGUCCACGCCGUAAACGAUGUCGACUAGCCGUUGGGGAACUUGAGUCCUUGGUGGCGCAGUUAACGCGAUAAGUCGACCGCCUGGGGAGUACGGCCGCAAGGUUAAAACUCAAAUGAAUUGACGGGGGCCCGCACAAGCGGUGGAGCAUGUGGUUUAAUUCGAUGCAACGCGAAGAACCUUACCAGGCCUUGACAUCCUUGGAAUCCUGCAGAGAUGCGGGAGUGCCUUCGGGAAUCAAGUGACAGGUGCUGCAUGGCUGUCGUCAGCUCGUGUCGUGAGAUGUUGGGUUAAGUCCCGUAACGAGCGCAACCCUUGUCCUUUGUUGCCAGCGCGUAAUGGUGGGAACUCAAAGGAGACUGCCGGUGACAAACCGGAGGAAGGUGGGGACGACGUCAAGUCAUCAUGGCCCUUACGGCCUGGGCUACACACGUGCUACAAUGGAACGCACAGAGGGCAGCGACCCCGCGAGGGUGAGCGAAUCCCACAAAACGUUUCGUAGUCCGGAUUGGAGUCUGCAACUCGACUCCAUGAAGUCGGAAUCGCUAGUAAUCGGGAAUCAGAAUCUCGCGCUGAAUACGUUCCCGGGCAUUGUACACACCGCCCGUCACACCAUGGGAGUGGGUUGCUCCAGAAGUGGUUAGUCUAACCUUCGGGGGGACGAUCACCACGGAGUGAU
rnacentral:rRNA from 1 species